AACGCACAUUGCGCCCUGUGGUAUUCCGCAGGGCAUGCCUGUUCGAGCGUCAGUACAACACUCAAGCUCUGCUUGGUAUUGGGCCCUGCCAGCAACGGCAGGCCUUAAAAUCAGUGGCGGCGCCACCUGGCUCUAAGCGUAGUAAUACUCCUCGCUACAGAGUCCUGGUGGAUGCCUGCCAGCAACCCCCAACUUUCUAAGUUUGGCCUCGGAUCAGGUAGGGAUACCCGCUGAACUUAA
rnacentral:misc_RNA from 1 species